rnacentral:tRNA from 1 species
CAGCUCAGUGGAAAAGAGCCCACGGUUCCAGACCAUGAUGUCAAGGGUUCAACCCCCUUCUAGCUCAUAAUAGA